AAGGAUAUAUUCGGAACAUCUUCUUCGAAGAUGAAARGGAWUAACGUGACAUAUUGUAUUCAGUUUUGAAUGUUUAUUAACAUUCAUUUUAAUAAUGGGCCUAUAGCUCAGCUGGUUAGAGCGCACGCCUGAUAAGCGUGAGGUCGGUGGUUCGAGUCCACUUAGGCCCACCAUUAAAAUUGUACAUUGAAAACUAGAUAAGUAAGUAAAUAGAUUUUACCAAGCAAAACCGAGUGAAUAGAGUUUUAAAUAAGCUUGAAUUCAUAAAAAUAAUCGCUAGUGUUCGAAAGAACACUCACAAGAUUAAUAACGCGUUUCCUGGUGGAAACAUA
rnacentral:misc_RNA from 1 species